rnacentral:rRNA from 1 species
GGCGGCGUGCCUAACAAUGCAAGUCGAACGGGAAAACAGGGGCAACUCUGUGAGUACAGUGGCGUACGGGUGAGUAACACGUGACUACCUACCCUCGAGUGGGGGAUAACCCCGGGAAACCGGGGCUAAUACCGCAUAACAUCGCAAGAUCAAAGGAGCAAUUCGCUUGAGGAGGGGGUCGCGGCUGAUUAGCUAGUUGGUGGGGUAACGGCCCACCAAGGCAAUGAUCGGUAGCCGGCCUGAGAGGGCGCACGGCCACACUGGAACUGAAACACGGUCCAGACUCCUACGGGAGGCAGCAGUGGGGAAUUUUGCGCAAUGGGGGAAACCCUGACGCAGCAACGCCGCGUGGAGGAUGAAGUCCCUUGGGACGUAAACUCCUUUCGACCCGGACGAUAAUGACGGUACGGGUGGAAGAAGCACCGGCUAACUUCGUGCCAGCAGCCGCGGUAAUACGAGGGGUGCGAGCGUUGUUCGGAAUUAUUGGGCGUAAAGGGCGCGUAUGCGGUGCGGUAAGUCA